GGUAAAGUAGCUAAUGUCUGACCAUUAGAAAUGCUUAUUCCUUCAGUGUUUCUCUUAAUUUAGCUAUACAAACUGUUUUUGUUUUCAUUUCAUAUGACAGGAUAGUCGGUGUGAUCCCAGAGGCAUUCCCGGAUGGGAGGCAGUCGAUGCCUUGGCAGGGUACCUUGUCAGCCUCAACCGGACGAUAACUGCUCUUUCGAACCAAGAAAUAGCAGAUAUACUGAGGUUGUACUCCAGCCUGGAUGGAAUCGACAAGUCCCCAACAAAGUACUCCCUAAAAAAUAAGAAGACGACCUUGCCAGGGCCAUGGAGAGCUUCUCGGAAACGCAGUGGCUCUGCUCCAGGCCAACAAGCAGCCGAGAGGUACCUGCAAACAAUCAGCUUCAAGUAUAUGUGUGUAGCUGUGUGUUCAUGUGUAAUUAACUGCAUACACAUACACUUUAAUGGUGUGUGUAUGUAUACAUUUAAUAUACUUGUAAUAUAUGUGUGUAAAAGUGUGUUUGUACAUUUGUAUGUAACAUACAGGGGUAUAUAUAUAUUUAUAUAUAUACACACACGCACCCACAAAACAAACACACACAUUGUGUGUUUACAGUACACACACAAUGUUGGUUAUAUCAUCUUGUCUUUUCGCAGAUUGUUCAUGGUUCAUGGCCAGGCUGCCCAUAGACCCGAUUACACCAGGGUCUCUGAGUGUGUUGCACUGAAGCUUUUCAAGGAGUUCAAGGAAGGCAGAAAUAGACCAAAAGACCCUAAGGGGAGGACAUUUCCAAUUCCUCAGGCUAUUGUUAUGACGUAUGGUCAUAUUAAACAAUUAAUUGAGGAUUGCCAACAAAUCCUGCAAAGCACCAACCUGGUACUGGUGACCAUAAAUAAUACAACAGUCUCUUCUUGGCUGCAGGAUCGGCAGAAGAGGGCCGACCGCGAUUCUCUGCUUCAAGGGGUGGAGCUUCCUCAGCAGGUCCACGUGGCCGAGGAAUCCCUCCUGGAGGCCCUGGACCUACCAUCUGAGCCUGUUCCACAUGGGCAUGCAGAUCUGGAGUUCGAGGAACCUGACAACCGUGAGGGUGAGGCGGUGAUUCGGCGACGCCGACGCAAAACUUAGGUUUCCAGCGAAGACGCUGGAGGAGAUGAUGCUUGGACUGUUCCUUUCCCCUCUUCAUCUGACCUAGCCUAUUGUGAGCAGCGUCAACACCCAGCUCCUGUGUCUCAAUCACAGAGCUGGUACCCAUACCAACCACCUUCAGCUCCAGCGUCUCAAUCUCGUGGCUGGUCCCCAUACCAGCUGCCUCCAACACCGGAGUCUCAGUAUCAGGCCUGGGCCUCUUACCAACGGCCUCCAGCCUCUCACUCUCAGGGCUGGUCGGGGCCCUCAUACCAGCCGCCGCCACCACCACCAGCAGCCCACUUUCAGAGCUGGUCCUCAAAACUGCCGCCACCACCACCUCCAGCAGCUCACUCUCAGGGCUCUUACCAGCUGCCACCAGUGCCAGAUUCUCCACCUCAGGACGGACCUUCUAACCAGCCAGAUCCAGCGUCUCACAAUCGCUACCGGGAAUGGAGGUUACAAAAGGCAGCCUUUGAGGAUCAGGAGCGAGCGAUGAGGGGUGAGCCCCCGAAGAAGCGUCAAAGUAAGGAAAGCUACCACUACCAAUGCAAAAUGUGUGGUAAGGCGAAAAGCAAACUUAUUGGCCACACACAGCUACGGGGGAAAUGGUACUGUCCAGCAUCUGGAAAGACCAUUGCAGAGUGGAAAAGCUCCUUGUAAAAAUGUAAGCAAUGUGUACAUUUGUUUCUAAGAUAUUUCUAUUGGUGUUAAAUCAUUUGUUUUAAGUGUUAAAUCAUUUGUACAAAAAAGUUCAAAC
rnacentral:lncRNA from 1 species